CCCUGAGAUUAGCUUAGUUGGUUAGACCAUGAUGCUGUUAGCAACAAGGUUGUGGGUUCAAUCCCCAUACGGGCC